rnacentral:rRNA from 1 species
AGAGAAAUAUAUUUAAAAUAAUCAUAUAAACAAGAACUAAAAAUAACACCUUUUGUAUUAGGUAUAUUCUAGCUAAAUUAAAAAUAUCACCCCGAAUUUAAAAGAGACAAAAAUUUAGCAUAAAUUAAUAAAAUUAUUAUACUGAAUUUUUAAGAAAAUAUUUCCUACCUUUAAUAAGCUGGAGAAUUCAAAUUAAAGCUGUAAAAAAGUUACAACUAAGAUUUAAAAAAAAGAAAAAAAAAUAUAAUGAAUCAAAAUGUUUUAUCAUGAUAAUUUCCGCUAGUUUUAAGAAAUCUAAUAAUUAUUCAAUUAAAUAGACUAUAAUAAAUAUAUCAGUAAAUAAAAUAAAACUCUUAUAUAAAUUUAGCGUAAAGAAAAUUUAAAAACUUAAAAUAAAGAACUCGGCAAAAAAGAUAAAAAAUGUUUAUCAAAAACAUUUCUUUUUAAACAAAAAGUAAUCUCUGCCAAUUGAUUGAAAUUAAAAGGCCGUUUCACGCUAAGGUAGCGUAAUCAAAAGUCUAUUAAUUGUAGACCUGUAUGAAAGAGAAAAUUAUUAUCUUUCUUUCUUUUUUCAAUGCUUGAAAUUAAUGCGUUAAAAAAAUAAACGUUGUACUGCAAGACGAGAAGACCCUGGAAGCUAACUGUAAUUUACAGUUUUUUGGGGAAAAAUAAAUUUUAACUAUUGAAUUUUAUGAAGAUGGAAAAACUUAAAAAAUAAGCUACCCCAGGGAUAACAGAGCAAUUAAUUUUUUUAGGUCUUAUAUAAAAAUUAGAUUGUGACCUCGAUGUUGGAUUCUAAAAACUAAAAGAUCGCAGUAGAUCUAAAAGUGAAACUGUUCGUUUUUUAAAUUUAGACUUGAUCUGAGUUCAGAUCGGCGUAAGCCAGAUCGGAUUUUAUCUGCAGAUAAAUUUUUAUUAUAACAGUACGAAAGGACAUUAUGAAUUUUAUGUUUUCUUACAGCUUACUAAAUCAUUAGUGGUAUCCCCCCCUCCCUGAAAUGUAAGACUUUAAAGUUUUU